GGCGGGGGCAGAGCGAGGCAGCAGCGCGGGCUCCGUGAGGGACGGCCCAGCCACCAGCCGGCACCGGGAGCGCGGGACCGAGCUUCAAAGCAUGUUGCUUUAUUGUGUGGAAGAUCCAGUCCAUUUUUGUUGUCCAGCCACCAUGGUGAGCAUCAUUCAUUUGCUUCAUGAAGUACUCAAGAGCUUCCUGCUCAGUUUUGUCCAAUGCAAGGGUCUUCCGAAUGUACGCAAUAUCAUCAAAGGACUGCAGUUCUGGCAUUCCUGAGCCAAGCAUCAUGGAGAAGAGAUUUAUGAACAGAUUGGCAUGCUGCCGAAUUGCUAGAUAAGCCUUGUAACACAUCUCUUGAAACCUGGAAGAGAUAGAAAAGAAAAACCACACCCACAAAGAGACAACACUCAGUAUAUUGCCUUGUUAGAUGCAUUUUCUUUUUCACCUCUAAAAAGAUUUUCAAGCAACUAUAUACAGAUAAAAGGUUGACAUUCAUAGUUUAACUAAAUCCAACAAAUGUUCAGACAUCCUUAUCUUCCUUCUUAGAUUAUUUUAACUGCUGUAAGACUUAGUAUUGGUCAGACUGGUACAACAGUCAAAAUUUCCAGCCUCAAUUCUCAAUUUACGCAAACGUUCAACAACUCUAAAGGGGUACACAGAGCCUUUUACUUAUUUGUGGCAACAUUUCAGAUCAUAAAGCAAGUUUCCUGAUCAACUGCUGUGAACAGUGCUUCCCUGGUGAUCAUCAAGGAGAGAUACACUUCUGUCCCACACUUCUAUGAAGUUACUGUUCAUCCUUAGCUACUCUUCAGAAUGCACUGAAUACAGGAGCAUUUGCUCUCUUACAGCAUUGAGUGUGAAAUGUCUGUUUAUGUGAAACAAUUAAAGGUCACCAGAAUUGCA